rnacentral:rRNA from 1 species
GGGUGCAAGCGUUACUCGGAAUCACUGGGCGUAAAGCGCGCGCAGGCGGCUAGAUAAGUUGGAAGUGAAAUCCUAUGGCUCAACCAUAGAACUGCUUCCAAAACUGUUUAGCUAGAGUCUGGGAGGGGAAGAUGGAAUUAGUAGUGUAGGGGUAAAAUCCGUAGAGAUUACUAGGAAUACCAAAAGCGAAGGCGAUCUUCUGGAACAGUACUGACGCUGAGGCGCGAAAGCGUGGGGAGCAAACAGGAUUAGAUACCCUGGUAGUCCACGCCCUAAACGAUGAAUGUUAGUCGUCGGGACUCUAGUAGUUUCGGUGAUGCAGUUAACACAUUAAACAUUCCGCCUGGGGAGUACGGUCGCAAGAUUAAAACUCAAAGGAAUAGACGGGGACCCGCACAAGUGGUGGAGCAUGUGGUUUAAUUCGAAGAUACGCGAAGAACCUUACCUAGCCUUGACAUAUUUUAGAACUCCGCAGAGAUGUAGAGGUGCCUUCGGGAGCUAAUAUACAGGUGCUGCACGGCUGUCGUCAGCUCGUGUCGUGAGAUGUUGGGUUAAGUCCCGCAACGAGCGCAACCCUCGUUCUUAGUUACUAACGGUUCGGCCGAGGACUCUAAGAAGACUGCCUUCGUAAGGAGGAGGAAGGUGAGGACGACGUCAAGUCAUCAUGGCCCUUACGGCUAGGGCAACACACGUGCUACAAUGGUUAGGACAAUGAGACGCAAUACCGCGAGGUGGAGCAAAUCUAUAAACCUAAUCUCAGUUCGGAUUGUAGUCUGCAACUCGACUACAUGAAGCUGGAAUCACUAGUAAUCGUAGAUCAGCUAUGCUACG